rnacentral:rRNA from 1 species
UACGUAGGGGGCAAGCGUUAUCCGGAUUUACUGGGUGUAAAGGGAGCGUAGACGGCAGAGCAAGUCUGAAGUGAAAGCCCGCGGCCCAACUGCGGGACUGCUUUGGAAACUGCCCGGCUAGAGUGCUGGAGUGGUAAGCGGAAUUCCUAGUGUAGCGGUGAAAUGCGUAGAUAUUAGGAGGAACACCAGUGGCGAAGGCGGCUUACUGGACAGUAACUGACGUUGAGGCUCGAAAGCGUGGGGAGCAAACAGG